rnacentral:rRNA from 1 species
UACGUAGGGGGCGAGCGUUGUCCGGAAUCAUUGGGCGUAAAGAGCGUGUAGGGGGCUUGGAAAGUCUUACGUGAAAGCCUGCGGCUCAACCGCAGAAGUGCGUAGGAAACUUCCUCGCUAGAGUCCGGAAGAGGAGAGCGGAAUUCCUGGUGUAGCGGUGGAAUGCGCAGAUAUCAGGAGGAACACCCGUGGCGAAGGCGGCUCUCUGGGACGGUACUGACACUGAGACGCGAAAGCGUGGGGAGCGAACAGG